CCCUUAGAUGUUCUGGGCCGCACGCGCGCUACACUGAUGCAUACAACGAGUCUAAAACCUGCUCUGAUAGGGGUGGGUAAUCUUUUGAAUGUGCAUCGUGAUUGGGAUAGAUGAUUGCAAUUUUUCAUCUUCAACGAGGAAUGCCUAGUAAACGCAAGUCAUCAGCUUGCAUUGAUUACGUCCCUGCCCUUUGUACACACCGCCCGUCGCUCCUACCGAUUGAAUGAUCCGAUGAAUAUCAUGGAUUGAGGAUUAUAGCAGGUUCGCCUGUCUUGAUCUUCGAGAAGUGAAGUAAAUCUUAUCAUUUAGAGGAAGGAGAAGUCGUAACA
rnacentral:rRNA from 1 species